rnacentral:tRNA from 1 species
CCAUCGGGAGCCGGACGGUUAGGCAACAGUCUGUAAAACUGUCUAAAGUAGGUUCAACUCCUACCCGAUGGACCA